rnacentral:rRNA from 1 species
GACGAACGCUGGCGGCGUGCCUAAUACAUGCAAGUCGAACGCUUCUUUCCUCCCGAGUGCUUGCACUCAAUUGGAAAGAGGAGUGGCGGACGGGUGAGUAACACGUGGGUAACCUACCCAUCAGAGGGGGAUAACACUUGGAAACAGGUGCUAAUACCGCAUAACAGUUUAUGCCGCAUGGCAUAAGAGUGAAAGGCGCUUUCGGGUGUCGUUGAUGGAUGGACCCGCGGUGCAUUAGCUAGUUGGUGAGGUAACGGCUCACCAAGGCCACGAUGCAUAGCCGACCUGAGAAGGUGAUCGGCCACACUGGGACUGAGACACGGCCCAGACUCCUACGGGAGGCAGCAGUAGGGAAUCUUCGGCAAUGGACGAAAGUCUGACCGAGCAACGCCGCGUGAGUGAAGAAGGUUUUCGGAUCGUAAAACUCUGUUGUUAGAGAAGAACAAGGACGUUAGUAACUGAACGUCCCCUGACGGUAUCUAACCAGAAAGCCACGGCUAACUACGUG